rfam:Schistosoma mansoni strain Puerto Rico chromosome W, complete genome
AUCCAGCUAACGAGUCCCAAAUAGGACGAAACGCGUGUCCUGGAU